rnacentral:misc_RNA from 1 species
AAAAAUUUUCAGCCAGUAUACAUUUCAAAUCGAUACUGACAUAGCAUAACAUUUCGUGUCGAUUCUCAGUAGGGAAAGCAAUAGAGUUCAAGGGUGUAAACAGCAAGUCAAAGCUUUUAGCUAAAAUGUCUCGAUAUCAUAAAACGUGCCCAUCAAAACACUUAAGGGUGGGAGCUUACUCCAGCGUGAAAACGUAUCCUAACACCAUCAUCAUAAGCGGUGUAGCGAAGUCUAGAAUGCAAACAAACUACAUCGACAAAUUCUUGAAAGCGGAACCAGUGAAUACCUGAUCGAGCAGAAAGUUUUUGCAGUAGGAUGAUCUGAAACAUAAUGAAGAAUACUGUAGAGAUCUUGAGAAAACAGGGUCUUGAUUACUCGCACAUUGUUGGUCUAUACAUCUUCUGGUGAAGUAUACAUUUAAUCUCAUUCACCGACUACAAAUAGCGGUAUUCCCCAGCCUCCAUGUCUUGAGAAAUAAUCAUUAUCAAGAGAUAUAGCAAGUGCAACAGCUACUGCUCUUUCUGAUAGGCUUAAUGGGCGUGCUACAUCCAACUCUUCAAUCCCUGUAACAGGACAAAUACUAGUAUCAGCAUUCCCGAACCGAAUCACAUACUGGCCAGCAUCAGUGAAUAUCUCAAAACCAAAACCUCUCCAAUCACGAUCUAUCUGAGCCAGCACCUUCCCAUCGAUGUCCUUCAAAGUAAAUGUCCAAUUCCAAAAGCCAGGAUUUUCAACAACAGCAAACUGCUUAUUCCCCAAGUAAAGAUCAUAAAUUCUCCUCCAGAGAUGCCAUCUUCUGUGGACAACACCAACCUCUUCUCCAUUUAUCUCUGCAUAAAUUGAGCUGUUG